rnacentral:rRNA from 1 species
UACGUAGGGUGCAAGCGUUAAUCGGAAUUACUGGGCGUAAAGCGUGCGCAGGCGGUGAUGUAAGACAGGUGUGAAAUCCCCGGGCUUAACCUGGGAACUGCAUUUGUGACUGCAUCGCUGGAGUGCGGCAGAGGGGGAUGGAAUUCCGCGUGUAGCAGUGAAAUGCGUAGAUAUGCGGAGGAACACCGAUGGCGAAGGCAAUCCCCUGGGCCUGCACUGACGCUCAUGCACGAAAGCAUGGGGAGCAAAAGGG